rnacentral:rRNA from 1 species
UAAGAAGGGUGCAAGCGUUAAUCGGAAUUACUGGGCGUAAAGCGCGCGUAGGUGGUUCGUUAAGUUGGAUGUGAAAGCCCCGGGCUCAACCUGGGAACUGCAUCCAAAACUUGCGAGCUAGAGUAUGGCAGAGGGUGGUGGAAUUUCCUGUGGAGCGGUGACAUGCGUAGAUAUAGGAAGGAACACCAGUGGCGAAGGCGACCACCUGGGCUAAUACUGACACUUAUGUGCUCAAGCGUGGUGAUCACACAGGAUUAGAUAC